rnacentral:rRNA from 1 species
AAGAUUAUUAUAAUAUUUUUCCCGAAAUGAUUAGAGCUAAAAAGUUGUAUUUAUUAGAAAAUUAUAUUAUUGUAGAAAAAAUAAUAAAGAAGAGUUUUUUAGGGGUGAAAAGCCUUUCAUUUUUUAUAAUAACUGGAUAAAAUUUAAAUAUAUUUAGUAUAUGUAAACAAAUAAAAAGUGAUAAGAUUUUUUAUUAGUUAAAAUUUUUUUUUUAUGAUUUAAUGGUUUUAAAACCAAAGUGAAAAUUUUAUAAAUAUUUAUUUAAAAAAUAUUUAUUCUAUAAAUUUUAAUUAAUUUUAAUUUUACGGUUUAUUUAUAAUGUUUAAAUUAGUAUUCACAAAAAAAUUUUUUAGGAACUCGGCAAAUAAUAUUUUCGACUGUUUAACAAAAACAUAGCUUAAUGAAGUUAUUUUAAGUUUACCCUGCCCGGUGAAAUUUUAACGGCCGCAGUACUUUGACUGUGCUAAGGUAGCAUAAUAAUUUGGCUUUUAAUUGAAGUCUUGAAUGAAAGGAAUUUCGAAAAUUUACUGUCUUAAAAGUUUAAUUAAAAGUUACUUAUUUGGUGAAAAUUCCAAAAAUGAUAAAAUAGACGAGAAGACCCUUAGAAUUUUUAUGAAAAAUAUCUACAAAGUUUUUGUUGGGGCAACAAGGGAGCAUUUAAAUCUCCUCUUUAUGAAAAUUGAUCGUUUUUUUUAGUUAAAAGUAAAUUACCUAAGGGAUAACAGCAUAAUUUUUUAUUAGUUUGUGACCUCGAUGUUGGAUUAGGUAAAUAUAAUAGUAAGCCAUUAUUGUAUUAAUUCUGUUCGAAUAUUAUUACCUACAUGAUCUGAGUCAGACCG